GACGAACGCUGGCGGCGUGCUUAACACAUGCAAGUCGAACGAAGUGGCGAACGGGUGAGUAACGCGUAAUUAACCUGCCCUUCAGAGGGGGACAACAGUUGGAAACGACUGCUAAUACCACAUACUGAAGGAGGGGAUUGCGUCUGAUUAGCUAGUUGGAGGGGUAACGGCCCCCAAAGGCGAUGAUCAGUAGCCGGUCUGUGAGAAUGAAAGUCCACAUUGGGACUGAGCACCGGCCCCUACUCCUCCGGGAGGCAGCAGUGUGGAAUCUUCCGCAAUGGACCAAAGGCUGACGGAGCAACGCGGCGUGUGUUAUGACGGCCUUCGGGCUGUAAAGCUCUGUUAAUCGGGACGCGGUACCGGAAUAGAAAGCCACGGCUAACUACGUGCCAGUAGCCGCGGUAAUAC
rnacentral:rRNA from 1 species